rnacentral:rRNA from 1 species
UGCAGAAUAUUGUGAACCAUCGAGUCUUUGAACGCAAGUUGUGCCCGAGGCCUCGUGGCCGAGGGCACCCCUGCUUGGGUGUCA